rnacentral:rRNA from 1 species
CAGCAGCCACGGUAAGACAGAGGAUGCAAGCGUUAUCCGGAAUGAUUGGGCGUAAAGCGUGCGUAGGUGGUGGUUUAAGUCCGUUGUGAAAGCCCUGGGCUCAACCUGGGAAUUGCAGUGGAUACUGGGUCACUAGAGUGUGGUAGAGGAUAGUGGAAUUUCCGGUGUAGCAGUGAAAUGCGUAGAGAUCGGAAGGAACAUCUGUGGCGAAGGCGACUAUCUGGGCCAACACUGACACUGAGGCACGAAAGCGUGGGGAGCAAACAGGAUUAGAUACCCCCGUAGUCCCUGUCUCUUAUAC